GCCUCUGUAGCUCAGUGGCAGAGUACUGGUCUUGAAAACCAGGAGUCGUGAGUUCAAUACUCACAGGAGGCA